GAUGAACGCUGGCGGCGUGCCUAACACAUGCAAGUCGGACGAACCUGAUCUUCGGAAAAGGUUAGUGGCGCACGGGUGAGUAACACGUAGGUGACCUGCCCUGGAGUGGGGGAUAACUUCUCGAGAGAGAGGCUAAUACCGCAUGCGCUCGGCCAUUCAGUUGGUCGAGUAAAGCUCCGGCGCUCCAGGAGGGGCCUGCGUCCGAUUAGCUAGUUGGUGAGGUAAUGGCUCACCAAGGCGAUGAUCGGUAGCUGGUCUGAGAGGACGAUCAGCCACACUGGCACUGACACACGGGCCAGACUCCUACGGGAGGCAGCAGUGAGGAAUAUUGGUCAAUGGGCGAAAGUCUGACGGAGCAACGCCGCGUGAGCGAAGAAGGCCUUCGGGUCGUAAAGCUCUGUUGUCAGGGAAGAACAAGUAUCGGAGUAACUGCCGGUACCUUGACGGUACCUGACCAGAAAGCCACGGCUAACUACGU
rnacentral:rRNA from 1 species